rnacentral:rRNA from 1 species
CCUACGGGUGGCAGCAGUGGGGAAUAUUGCACAAUGGGGGAAACCCUGACGCAGCGACGCCGCGUGAGUGAAGAAGUACUUCUUUAUGUAAAGCUCUAUCAGCAGGGAAGAAAAUGACGGUACCUGAGUAAUAAUCCCCGGCUAACUACGUUCCAGCCGCCGCGGUAACACGUAGGGGGCAAGCGUUAUCCGGAUUUACUGGGUGGAAAGGGAGCGUAGUCGGCAGUGCAAGUCUGGAGUGAAAGGCGGGGGCUCAACCCCCGGACGGCUCUGGAAACUGUACGGCUGGAGUGCAGGAUAGGUAAGUGGAAUUCCUAGUGUAGCGGUGAAAUGCGUAGAUAUUAGGAGGAACACCAGUGGCGAAGGCGGCUUACUGGAGUGUAACUGACGUUGAGGCUCGAAAGCGUGGGGAGCAAACAGGAUUAGAUACCCUUGUAGUC